rnacentral:rRNA from 1 species
UACAGAGGUCUCAAGCGUUGUUCGGAUUCAUUGGGCGUAAAGGGUGCGUAGGUGGCGCCGUAAGUCGGGUGUGAAAUUUCGGAGCUUAACUCCGAAACUGCAUUCGAUACUGCGGUGCUUGAGGACUGGAGAGGAGACUGGAAUUCAUGGUGUAGCAGUGAAAUGCGUAGAGAUCAUGAGGAAGACCAGUGGCGAAGGCGGGUCUCUGGACAGUUCCUGACACUGAGGCACGAAGGCCAGGGGAGCAAACGGGAUUAGAACCGUAC